rnacentral:rRNA from 1 species
UACAGAGACUGCAAGCGUUAUUCGGAUUCACUGGGCGUAAAGGGUGCGCAGGCGGUCGUGUGUGUCAGGUGUGAAAUCCCGGAGCUUAACUCCGGAACUGCGCCUGAAACUACAUGACUAGAGCAUUGGAGAGGGAAGUGGAAUUCAUGGUGUAGCAGUGAAAUGCGUAGAUAUCAUGAGGAACACCAGAGGCGAAGGCGGUGCUCUGGGCCGGAACUGACGCUGAGGAGCGAAAGCGUGGGGAGCAAACAGG